UGGUGUGCCCGAAGGGACUCGAACCCCUGACCCGCAGCUUAGAAGGCUGCUGCUCUUGUCCAGCUGAGCUACGGACAC
rnacentral:tRNA from 1 species